CAUGAUUUACUUUAAUAAACAAACUGUGAACUUUAUAUACUAUUCGUGUAGAGAUAAAUUUAUUUUUCUUUUACACUGUCAUUCGAUGAACAUUAGAUAGCUGGCUCGUUUUUUAUUAAACUUUCUCAGCUGAUUUGUUUUUGUUAGACUAAACAUCUAUUCAAUACAAUCAACCAAACAUAGAAA
rnacentral:misc_RNA from 1 species